rnacentral:rRNA from 1 species
UACAGAGGUCUCAAGCGUUGUUCGGAUUCAUUGGGCGUAAAGGGUGCGUAGGCGGCGCGGUAAGUCGGGUGUGAAAUCUCGGAGCUUAACUCCGAAACUGCAUUCGAUACUGCCGUGCUUGAGGACUGGAGAGGAGACUGGAAUUUACGGUGUAGCGGUGAAAUGCGUAGAGAUCGGGAGGAACACCCGUAGCGAAGGCGGUUCUCUGGGCCGGUACUGACGCUGAGGAGCGAAAGCGUGGGGAGCAAACAGG